CACAAAUGCUGAUGCUCCAGAUACUCAACCAGUCUAAAGGAGGACAGUUUUAUUGCUUAUUUAAUGAGAACAACAGUUUUCAGCUGUACUAACAUAAUUGCAAAAGGGUUUUCUAGCGAUAAAUUAUCCUUUUAAAAUGAUAAACGUGGAUUAGCUAACACAACGUGCCAUUGGAACACAGGAGUGAUGGCUGCUGAUAAUGGGCCUCUGUACGCCUAUGUAGAUUUUCCAUAAAAAAUCUGCUGUUUCCAGCUACAAUAGGCAUUUACAACAUGAACAAUGUCUACACUGUAUUUCUGAUCAAUUUGAUGUUAUUUUAAUGAACAAAAAUGUUUUUUCUUUCAAAAACACGGGCAUUUCUAAGUGACCCCAAACAGUAGUGUACAUGGUAAUUAUGACCACUCCGGAGUACGUCCUCCAACCAAUCAAAGCUUUAGCAGGAAGAACUGACAUAUUGUCCAUCCAAUCAUAGAAUUAGCAUCAGAGAACGAACCUAUUGAGUUGUAUUGGGAUUGUGCCACUGAGCGUUAUGGGGUUUCUAUGUGUUGAGAAACUUGGUGACAUUGUUUUAAGAGUGAAAAGUGAUCCUGAAGCAUUUUUGGGAUUGUAUUCAAUUCAAAUGAGUUUUUUCAAAUUACAGGAUACUGAGGAGGUAUAUUAUAAAUAGUUUUCUUGGUUUUAGAACUUUAUUUUGGUGUCCAGUAAAAGCAAGGCAAAUUUAAAUAAAUUGUCAAUUUAAAUGGCUAGCUAGCAACUGUACCAGAGCAAGUGUGCAGUUUUCUGCGCCAGAAUGGUUUAAUAGACAACGCUGCUGAAAAUGUUGUGGACUUUUUGUCGAAGAACCCCUUUCAUUCUCUGGGGUACACGGAAAAGGUGCGAGUUAAAAUAUCAGCUGAUCAAAAGUAUAGAUUGUUAACAGGGAGCCUUUCAUCAAGCCGUCUGUAUUGCACGCCUUGCCUGCGUUUUUGUGCAAGGGCAACUACAAGGAGCUUGCAGAGAGGUGAUGACUACUCAACUCCACUUCCUUUGUCAACUUUCUCCUGA
rnacentral:lncRNA from 1 species